rnacentral:rRNA from 1 species
UACGGAGGGUGCGAGCGUUGUCCGGAAUCAUUGGGCGUAAAGGGCGCGUAGGUGGCGGGACAAGCGUGCGGUGAAAGCCUGGGGCUCAACCCCGGGUCGGCCGUGCGAACUGUUUUGCUUGAGCACUGUAGAGGCAGGCGGAAUUCCGGGUGUAGCGGUGGAAUGCGUAGAGAUCCGGAAGAACACCGGUGGCGAAGGCGGCCUGCUGGGCAGUAGCUGACACUGAGGCGCGACACGUGGGGAGCAAACAGG